rnacentral:rRNA from 1 species
UGGGGAAUUUUGGACAAUGGGCGAAAGCCUGAUCCAGCAAUGCCGCGUGUGUGAAGAAGGCCUUCGGGUUGUAAAGCACUUUUGUCCGGAAAGAAAUCCUUGGCUCUAAUACAGUCGGGGGAUGACGGUACCGGAAGAAUAAGCACCGGCUAACUACGUGCCAGCAGCCGCGGUAAUACGUAGGGUGCAAGCGUUAAUCGGAAUUACUGGGCGUAAAGCGUGCGCAGGCGGUUUGCUAAGACCGAUGUGAAAUCCCCGGGCUCAGCCUGGGAACUGCAUUGGUGACUGGCAGGCUAGAGUAUGGCAGAGGGGGGUAGAAUUCCACGUGUAGCAGUGAAAUGCGUAGAGAUGUGGAGGAAUACCGAUGGCGAAGGCAGCCCCCUGGGCCAAUACUGACGCUCAUGCACGAAAGCGUGGGGAGCAAACAGGAUUAGAUACCCUGGUAGUCCACGCCCUAAACGAUGUCAACUAGUUGUUGGGGAUUCAUUUCCUUAGUAACGUAGCUAACGCGUGAAGUUGACCGCCUGGGGGAGUACGGUCGCAAGAUUAAAACUCAAAU